rnacentral:rRNA from 1 species
UACGUAGGGUGCGAGCGUUAAUCGGAAUUACUGGGCGUAAAGCGUGCGCAGGCGGUUUUGUAAGUCUGUCGUGAAAUCCCCCGGGCUCAACCUGGGAAUUGCGAUGGAGACUGCAAGGCUAGAAUCUGGCAGAGGGGGGGUAGAAUUCCACGUGUAGCAGUGAAAUGCGUAGAGAUGUGGAGGAACACCGAUGGCGAAGGCAGCCCCCUGGGUCAAGAUUGACGCUCAUGCACGAAAGCGUGGGGAGCAAACAGG